GACGAACGCUGGCGGCGUGCUUAACACAUGCAAGUCGAACGGAGUGGCGAACGGGUGAGUAACACGUGGGUGACCUGCCCUGCACUUCGGGAUAAGCCUGGGAAACUGGGUCUAAUACCGGAUAGUGUGGGAUGGGCCCGCGGCCUAUCCGCUUGUUGGUGGGGUAAUGGCCUACCAAGGCGGAGACGGGUAGCCGGCCUGAGAGGGUGGACGGCCAAAUUGGGCCGGAGACACGGCCCAGACUCCUACGGGAGGCAGCAGUGGGGAAUAUGGCACAAGGGGGGGAAGCCUGAUGCGGCGACGCGGGGUGGGGGAUGACGGCCUUCGGGUUGUGAACUCCUUGCACCAGCGACGCGGUAGAUGGAGAAGAAGCACCGGCUGACUACGUGCCAGCAGCCGUGGUAAUUC
rnacentral:rRNA from 1 species